CCUGAUAAUAUUUACCAUUCUAAACAUCCUGGCUAAAUCAGCUAACUCACUUAACCCUCUCCACAGCCUCACGUAGGAGAUACUACCAGCAUGUCUACUUUACAAAUGGGGAAACUGAGUCCCAAAAAGGUGAAUUUCUUCAUUCGCCAUCAUGAAGAUAGGAACUGAAUAACCUGGACCUGAGCCCAGAAUCCAUUCACAACAAUGCCUCUGAAUUCAUCCCCGUCUCUCCUUCAAGAAUAAGAAGAGGCCAGCUGACAUCCUCAAAAAUGCGGUCAUGUUGAAGGUCAUUAACUGAAACACAAUCUAGGACCUAUAAGCCUAAGUCUGCCAAGCCAGUUCCAGUGCAAUUUCCCUAAGAAACAAAACAAAGAUGAAUAGAGACAGAAUAAAGCACUGAAUAAAUGCAGAGAGUGGGCUUUGAAUAAUGAACAAGACUGUUUCAUUCCUGAUCUGUUACAGUGACAGUUACCUGGCAUUGUUCUGAACUCCUUACACAGACUCUCUCCGUCACUAUCCUGACUCCAGUGCUUUGAGGCUGGUGCCAUUAUCACCAUUUUACAGAUGUGGAAACUGAAGCGUAGAAAGGGUUUUGGGGUACAUGUGAAGAACAUGCAAGACAGUUGCAUAGAACCACAAAAUUAUUCAAUGAAUUGAAGACGUGGUAACAAACCUAGAGGCCUAGCCAAUGUCUUGAUUUGGUAGUGAAAUUGAGCACCUUAAGGAAUGAAAAGAGCGAUGAUUCAACACAGAGUUCCAUCUCUUUUUUUUCUUCCGGGAGAUC
rnacentral:lncRNA from 13 species